rnacentral:rRNA from 1 species
UGGCGACCGGCGCACGGGUGCGUAACGCGUAUGCAACCUACCCAUAACAGGGGGAUAACACUGAGAAAUUGGUACUAAUACCCCAUAACAUCAGGACCGGCAUCGGUUCUGGUUGAAAACUCCGGUGGUUAUGGAUGGGCAUGCGUUGUAUUAGCUGGUUGGUGAGGUAACGGCUCACCAAGGCAACGAUACAUAGGGGGACUGAGAGGUUAACCCCCGCAUUGGUACUGAGACACGGACCAA